GGGCUCACACAAGCGGUGGAGGAUGUGGCUUAAUUCGAGGCUACGCGAAGAACCUUACCUAGGCUUAACAUGUUUGGGAAUCUCUAUGAAAGUAGAGAGUGCCUUUCGGGGAACCCUUACGUAGGUGCUGCAUGGCUGUCGUCAGCUCGUGUCGUGAGAUGUCGGGUUAAGUCCCUUAACGAGCGAAACCCUUGUCCCUAGUUGCCAGCGAGUUAUGUCGGGGACUCUAGGGAGACUGCCGGUGUUAAACCGGAGGAAGGUGGGGAUGACGUCAAGUCCUCAUGGCCUUUAUGCCUAGGGCUGCACACGUCCUACAAUGCAACAGACAAAGGGAUGCGAAAUCGCGAGAUCAAGCAAAUCCCAAAAACUGUUGCCCAGUUCGGAUUGCAGGCUGAAAUUCGCCUGCAUGAAGCCGGAAUCGCUAGUAAUCGCGGGUC
rnacentral:rRNA from 1 species